GGUCAUGAGCGCCAGCGUCAAGCCCCGGCUCGCUGGCCAGCAACCCUCCUCCGCGGUGGGGUGCUCCGGGUGACGACCAGGCCGCCCUCGCCACGUUCGUGGUGACGAGGUGCGGCAAGCGCGGACC
rnacentral:ncRNA from 2 species